UCCCUCUCCCCUUUCCUGCUGUGUCGCACUUCUCUUUCUCUUCCCAUAAGUCGUACCUCUCUCUGCUCCCUGCUCAUUUGUCUUUCACUUUCUCUCACAUGUGCUUGUCUGCUUCAGAUGUGCUGCUGCACCCUUUGCAUUUGAAGAAAGUUUGCUGGUUUUUUGUUUUCUGUCCUGCUGGACUGAGAACAGACGUGCACAGCUUCUUCAUCUGGACAGCCAAGUGUAGACAGGAAAGCAGGGGUGUGAGAGGGGGAGUGGGAACGGGACAUAACCCAAGUCGGACUCAAACCCAGGACACUGAGCCAACACCUCUUAUGCAUGAGCAUGUGCACCACAGCUAUGACAUUAAGUAAUAUUUUUCACUCAAAAAAAACAGUGUGGUCGCAUGUGAUGCAACCGGCUCGUGAGUGUGUUUCUCCACCAGACCACCCUACACUGACCAGAUCUGGACUGUACAAGAGUCACAUAGCUGGAGGCAAGGAAAUCUGACCUUUUGUUCAGUGGAGUUUACAUGGUUAAUGCCACAAGAUUAGUGCCUUACAAAUAGUGCAUGAUCCUAAAUAUUUCUUACUCAUUUUAUGGUAUAAUCUUAGUUUAUUUUAAAUCGAGCAGACCACACAAUUUGUUUAUUUCCAUUUAAAUGUCAGAUUUUCAUGUUUGGACCACAAUAUAAUUUGGCUGAUUCGAUAAUGCGUUCAGCUACAAAUAAGUGUCUUAGCUUUUUGACCAUGUUUAAAUUCAUUCAGCAGAUUGCAAAGAAUGUCCAAAAAAGGUUGGAGAUUCUGUCUGAGCCUGCUUAUGACUCACAGUUUAGUUUUAUGUUAUUAAUAUUGAGGCCUGAUUUCAUUGAGGUCUUUUUUUUCUGAAUGAUAAGUGUGCGCGGUGGGGAAAGAACCUGUCAAUGUUUGUGAAUUUCCCUGCUGCUGCUUACUAGCGGUUUCACACUUCACACAGCAGACAUGUGGUUUAGCAUUUUUUUACUAUGAGUAGUACAGCCUGUUCUUUAAAACACAUGCUCCUCCAAUUGCACACGCAUAUACAUGACCUGAUGAGGAAGUGAUUCUAUUGACGAGGCAAAGAUGGUACAGACUGAUCUAGAAAUGUUCUUACCGUCUUCCUGCCACUCACCUCAUUUAUUAUGUGCGUGUGCAAAAGUGUUUGCACACGCUGCGUUCGCUGUUGUGGCUUUAAGUUUCAGGGUCGUACAGGUUGUCCUCUUAUUUCCGACUCGCUGCGUCUUUAUAUUUUAAAAGUAUAUCUAAAAUAGUGCCUCAAACUCAGACCAUCAGUUGAGCCGGUAUUGCGGUGUUUGUGGUCCUCUUUAUGCUAACCCAAAUUGUUUCGAGGAAAUAACUGAAAAAAAGAUUAUGAUCUUUUGUACCACAAGUUUUUAACCUUUGCUAAUCAGUGAUUGGCUGAUUAUGACCCACUAGUACAGUGUAUGUCUUUUCUGCUGAUGACUUAAAAUAACCUUUUGUGGGGUCAUUAUCAAGAAGCUUUCUUAGAAAAUUCUGGGGAAGGUUUGAUUACGCAGAAAAGCAGCACUUUUAUUGCUAAUGUAAGAAGAAAUAACGAGAAGCCUCCAGUAAAUGAUGCUCUUGAGCUAUUUUUCCACUCAGAAUUGAGAAGUGCACUCGAAUAUCUGUGAUGUCAUUAUCACCUCGUGUCUGUCUACAUGUCAUGUGCAAAAGUCUUUCUUCAGAACUGUGUAAAAUGUCAAGAAAUGUAAAAGGAGCAGCGAUGACCUUCUGCUUGUCGAGAAAAUAACUGAGAUGUUGUUGCUAUUUAUUAAUAGUAAAAAGUAAAGUGAUAUUCCAGAGCAUGUGUGCGUACGAGUGUACGUAUGUUGAAUUCAUUGAAAUAGCAAGUUCCACAUACAAAGGCUGACCACUGAGGUCUUUGUUUCUCAGUAAAUAUGUUUUGCCAUGUUCAACUUUUGAGUUUUUUACACAGUCACUGUAAAUGACAGCAUAUUGCACUGUAAAGAAACAUUGUUCUUGUCAGGCCUUUGGAGCAGAAGUUGGCACAUGUGCCCACUACUGUAGUGCUGGUGGGGAUGCAGGUUUGAGUCUGGUCUACUUCAUAUACCAGUCUGCCUUUCUAUCCCUAAUCAUUAUUUUUUUAAGGUUUAAUUUAUUUUUGUGAUUUUAUUUGAACUGUCCUGUCUAACAAAGGCAAAAACAGCAUAAUAGACAAAAUAAAACAGGGUGAAGUAUGUAACUUUUCAAACAUGUUUCAAACACUCCAUGUGUCCGCCACUGGUCAGACAAACUGGUAGUUUGGCCCCAAACCACACCAUUGGUUGAAAUAGUGUUAUGUCCAGUCCAUUCCAUCCAUUCAAACAGAUUGCAAGUGGUGUAGAAAUUCACUUUUUUUUAAAUAAAAUGUGUUUUUAUACAUACAUUUUGUUAUAUUUAUCAAAUACUUUUUCAAAUCU